rnacentral:lncRNA from 1 species
AUAAGAUGAUUAUGAAUAAUUCGACCUCCGUUUCUUAUUGUUGGUUAAUCAUAUUUUUCUCACAAAUGCUUGACGAUGACAAUGAGAACAAUAUAUAUUGAUCAACGGGGUGCUCGUAAGCUCAUUCUUCUAAGCAUAAUAUGUUUUCCCAAAAGGAGCAUCAACUCAAAUCACAAUCGAAGGGAGUUAUCGAUGUAUUAUCAUAAGGAGUUGGAGGUCUUUUAUGCUGCCAUGGAAUUUUAACUUCCUCCCUUACAUUAGUCCAAUGUAUUUCGUCCUUGUGAUGUGCCUCAUCUUUUAUACCUAAGGUGGGCACAUCUCCUAAUUCCAACAUUAGGAUAUAUUCUGACUUCUUGUUUGAUGUAACAUCUUUAUUUUGUAAUAAUUAGUGAAUGUGAUUGUAAAGAAAUGUUG